GAUGAAGAACGUAGCGAAAUGAGAUAAGUAAUGUGAAUUGCAGAAUUCAGUGAAUCAUCGAAUCUUUGAACGCACAUUGCGCCCGCCAGUAUUCUGGCGGCAUGCCUGUUCGAGCGUCAUUACAACCCUCAGGCCCCCGGGCCUGGCGUUGGGGAUCGGCGGAGCCCCCCGUGGGCACACGCCGUCCCCCAAAUGCAGUGGCGGUCCCGCCGCAGCUUCCAUCGCGUAGUAGCUAACACCUCGCGACUGGAGAGCGGCGCGGCCACGCCGUAAAACACCCAACUCUUCUGAAGUUGACCUCGAAUCAGGUAGGAAUACCCGCUGAACUUAAGCAUAUCAAUAAGCGGAGGA
rnacentral:misc_RNA from 1 species